rfam:Caldanaerobius fijiensis DSM 17918 genome assembly, contig: EJ21DRAFT_scaffold00018.18
UUACAAGAGAGUUUGAUCCUGGCUCAGGACGAACGCUGGCGGCGUGCCUAACACAUGCAAGUCGAGCGGAGGUAGUGGAGCUUGCUCUAUUACCUUAGCGGCGGACGGGUGAGUAACACGUGAGCAACCUGCCUUUAAGACCGGGAUAACACUUCGAAAGAGGUGCUAAUACCGGAUAACAUUUAUACACCGCAUGGUGUAUAAAGAAAGGGG